UUAUUGGGUUAAAGACCACACUUUUCAAGAAAACGUUGUCUAUGAUAAUAUUUUUAGUAUAUGUUACAACAAUUCCCCUCCUUCAAAAUUACACGAAAACCUAACCUCCAUAGCUAUCUCCACCAAAAGUCCAUGAAAAACGCAUCUUCGCCAAAACCCUCCUCCGCGCCGCCCUCAUUAACCUCCUCUGCCACUCCUCCGGAAGGAGCUCAAACGCUGCUCAAGAGAGCGACUCAAGCACAGCUUCAAGGAAUUCAUAUCCAUUUGGAGCGAUCGUGAAGAGGAGGGUGGGAAUGGGAUGAAGCUUGAAGCAGAUUGCAAGGACAAGACACACUAGAUGAGCUCCACCCAACUCUGGAGCCCUAAUUCUACCGCCAACAACAAGGUCGACGAUGAUGGCAAAAGCAUUGCGGAUUAGAAAUGAAAAACCUGAUCUCAUGGAGGAGAAGGAGAUCGAUUGCUCGAAGUCGAAAAGCUACCAUUUUGCGGCCGGAUUCAUUCUGUUUAAGAGCUCAAAGCAGGCGUCGAAGCCCUCAAUGACACUAUGUGAUCUCUCUCUUCUAUCGCUCCCACCGUUAAGGUGUUGCCUUCCCCAUCUCUUCGACGGCCGACGAAUUCUUUUACAGUGGCUUUGGCGCCAAGCACUCCGACAGUGCCAAACCAGCAUCUGACGACGCACACCUUAGCUUGCAAUUGCAACAUCCUCCGAGGAAGACGAGGCGGUGCUGGGCGUCAAAACUGCAUCGCCGCAUCAAGAUCACAUAAUCAAGGAGUAUAAAUAAUGGUUGUCUAGAUUCAUUUACCUGACCAAGAUGGAGCUUGGGAAUUUCUUGUCAGAACCACAUUCUGUUUGACAUACUUGAGGGAUUUUGAUCCGACCAGAUAAUUGUGAAGAACCUUUAUGACCUAAUAGGGAUGACAAACUGAGUUCAUUUCAUUAAGGGAUGAUCAAUCUUAUUGAAGUUGGUGCUUUUGGUUUAUCUCUGAUUCCAUUUUAUUGCCGAGAAUGUAUCAUUAGAGGAUCGCUUUAUCCAUCUCAAUAUAUCUUUGUAUUUUAUGGUUUAUUCUUUUGCAGGAGACUUUGCACAUGCACCAUGAAAAAGUUGAUGAUCUAGAGGCUUCCUUGAUUGGCUACGAGGCAAAAGAAACUAGUGGUGAAACUGAAGAAACUAUGGUACGUGGAAGCUAAGCAAAGCUUGAUUAGGAAUUGGCAGAUUUCUACAAUCACUGUUUAUUGUGUCUUUGCUCUUCAAGACAUGGCAUACUCUGAGAUUUUCUUUUUAUCGGCCAUGAGCAACAAAAGAUUUGGUGGUUUGAACUUUUCAUCUAAAGACGUUGGUUGAAGUGCUUGCACUCUCAGAUAUUUUGAAGGUGAAUGGAGGUAUUCAGGAACUCCAUCUAAAUAGCUCGGGUAUGGAUGAUUACAGGAGCAACAAAUACAUGCUAUAUGGUACUGCAUCAGAACCUCAGGAGUGUGACUGAGAAGUACUUCGAUGAAGAACUAUCAAGAAAACUUUAGGAUUUAAGCGAGAAGAUGGUUAAAGCCAAUAAGUAAAGAACAUUCAAAUCAAGAGGAUAAAUAACAUCUAUCAAGAUCCUUUAAGUUCAUGUAAUAAGAUGUAGUCGAUAGGAGUAGCUUUGAAUGUCUCCUAAUUAAAAUUUCUUUAUAUGCGAGUAAUUAUGUUUGUUAUAGAAGUGUAAGGAUAAUAAUUUGUAUAUUUAUCUUGGUUGUUUAUUUAAUAAUAUGUUGUUGAUUGAAGUA